AGAACGAACGCUGGCGGCAUGCCUAACACAUGCAAGUCGAACGAGACCUUCGGGUCUAGUGGCGCACGGGUGCGUAACGCGUGGGAAUCUGCCCUUGGGUUCGGAAUAACAGCGAGAAAUUGCUGCUAAUACCGGAUGAUGACGUAAGUCCAAAGAUUUAUCGCCCAAGGAUGAGCCCGCGUAGGAUUAGCUUGUUGGUGAGGUAAAAGCUCACCAAGGCGACGAUCUGUAGCUGGUUUGAGAGAACGACCAGCCACACUGGGACUGAGACACGGCCCAGACUCCUACGGGAGGCAGCAGUGGGAAUUUGGACAAUGGGCGAAAGCCUGAUCCGAGCAAUGCCGCGUGCAGGAAGACGGCCUUGGUAGUAACUGUCUUUGUACGGAGCGUAAAGUCUAGCCCUAAGUACGG
rnacentral:rRNA from 1 species